CUGGUCGCUGGAAAGGCAGAGCCUUUUACACAUUGUCAAAUUCCUAGCAAGGGUAGGCUCGUAAGCUUGGAUCCCGGGGCCGGCGAGCGGCUGGACUGGGUGAUUAAUGCCUGGGAAAUUGCCCAGUCGAGGGGGAUAACAGUUGGAAACGACUGCUAAUACCGCAUACGCCCUAAGAGGGAAAGAUGGAAACCUUCGGGCCUUGCGCGAUUGGAUAUGCCCAGGUGGGAUUAGCUAGUUGGUGAGGUAAUGGCUCACCAAGGCGACGAUCCCUAGCUGGUCUGAGAGGAUGAUCAGCCACACUGGAACUGAGACACGGUCCAGACUCCUACGGGAGGCAGCAGUGGGGAAUAUUGCACAAUGGGGGAAACCCUGAUGCAGCCAUGCCGCGUGUGUGAAGAAGGCCUUCGGGUUGUAAAGCACUUUCAGCGAGGAGGAAAGGUUGAUGCCUAAUACGUAUCAACUGUGACGUUACUCGCAGAAGAAGCACCGGCUAAC
rnacentral:rRNA from 1 species